GACGAACGCUGGCGGCGUGCUUAACACAUGCAAGUCGAACGGAAAGGCCCUGCUUUUGUGGGGUGCUCGAGUGGCGAACGGGUGAGUAACACGUGAGUAACCUGCCCUUGACUUUGGGAUAACUUCAGGAAACUGGGGCUAAUACCGGAUAGGAGCUCCUGCUGCAUGGUGGGGGUUGGAAAGUUUCGGCGGUUGGGGAUGGACUCGCGGCUUAUCAGCUUGUUGGUGGGGUAGUGGCUUACCAAGGCUUUGACGGGUAGCCGGCCUGAGAGGGUGACCGGCCACAUUGGGACUGAGAUACGGCCCAGACUCCUACGGGAGGCAGCAGUGGGGAAUAUUGCACAAUGGGCUGAAGCCUGAUGCAGCAACGCCGCGUGCGGGAUGUCGGCCUUCGGGUUGUAAACCGCUUUCGCCUGUGACGAAGCGUGAGUGACGGUAAUGGGUAAAGAAGCACCGGCUAACUACGUG
rnacentral:rRNA from 1 species